rnacentral:rRNA from 1 species
AUGUGGAUGAGAUACCUAGAGUUGCAGAGGCAGUUUUGGGCACACAUUUUUUUGAUUUCUUCUUUGAGAUCGAUAAGGUACUGGUUAGAGAUCCAGAGAGGGAGAGCAAGAGUGCUCAGGUUGAUACUGCUAAGAAAAAUUCAUAUGUUGACAAGCAAAAUGCUCAGACAUAUCCUAAAUCCAAUGAAAAAGAGAAAGGAGCUGGGUCCAGUAGGUAUAUGGAACUGGGAAAAAAAUGCUCCUGUUGAUUCUUUAGAAGAUGGACAAGAGGAAUCAGAAGAGGCUGAGGAUAAGACCUUGUUGAUUGAUACCAUUGCUGAUGAGGCAUGUAAAAAAGAGGACCUGUGUAAAUCCAUCACAAUUUCUGCUGCAUCUAAGUAG